CAGCUGUUUUCACAAUCGAUGAUAUUGUUAGAACCAGUAGAGGUUGAGCGGAGCUUGUGCUCAGAGAAUCAAAAAUCACCAUUGGCGGUGAGGUCCAAAUUGCCGGAGUUUGGGGAUUUUCCCCCUGAGUUGCGAGAGGAUACAUUUGGGCGGGAUAAUGCGGGGCCCGUUGCCACAUCUCUCCCACCAAUCCGAUGCGAGAAAGUGAAAACGCCUUUGGCUAAUACGCUUCCUCCUCAAGACAACGCAGAUGAAAGUAUUUCUAGGGUUUUUGGACAGCUCUGGUCCAUUCCCUCCCCCCGCCGUCGCCAGCCUCACCCCCUUCCACCUAGCAAAACCACCGCCACUUUAGGAUGGCUCAGGAAAGAUCUAGCUCGUUCGGGAUGUUUUUCUCCCUCUGAUUUAUUCCCAGUCAAGCAUCUCCGCCCGUUUGAUCCUCCUCUGACGCUGCUCAAGAUCAUCAGGGAGGGGAUUGGGGCGGGAUCCAAGUCCUUUGCAUAGACUAUCAUGGCGGACAAGAAUAUGCCGCCCGGGGGGCUGAAGCAACGCGGCCCGGCUCCGCCGAAGAUCCCGGGGCGUCACCAAGCCACGGGGGGUGCGCGUCCUGCUGCUGCGCCUAGUAAAGGUGCUGCCCCUCCUACACAAACUGCCAUCGCUGUGCCACCGCCACCGAUCCCUCCUACCCCACCGGUGCAAGUCUUCGACGAGCGUUACAAGGAUAUGGUUUGCUUUACCUGUGGAGGCCCUGGCCACUACGUUGGUAAUUGCAUCCAGAAGAAAGCUUGCUUCAUCUGUGGAUUGGAGGGUCACAAUGUCAAUAAUUGCACAGCCUGGGCGCAACCUCAUCGAGUUGCCACUUUCUUUGGGAGUUCUGCUCUGGGACUGGGGUUCUAUCACAUCGACACUCCUGUGGGUAAAGAAGCAAGUUGGCUGGACUUCAGGAACUGCGGAGAAGUUUGGAUCAUGAAAGGCGAAAUCAACAAGUCAGAUCUAGUUAAGAAUCUCUCUGGUAUAUUUUGCAAAAACAAACAAUGGACGUGGCAGAUCAGGCCACUGUCAGAGAAGAAGUUCCUGGUCAGAUUCCCACCCUGGAAAGAUGUCGAAGAACUGAUUGAAUUCCCUGCCUUUGAUCUGCCCAUCGAUGGAGUGUCUGUGUCUGUGGAAAAGUGGACCGGUUCAGUUGACCCAUUCAGCGAACUUACUGAAGCAUGGGUAGUUGUUGAGGGUCUGUCAUCCAAAUGGUGCACAUGGAAAGUCUUAUCUCAAAUUGCUUCCUGCUUUGGAAUCCUUGUGGAUGUAGAUUGGAAUGGUCUGAUGAAUAGCUUCUAUGAGAAAGUGAGGGUCAAAAUUGCUUGUAGGGACCCAGCUAAGAUCCCUUUCAAAAGGAUUAUGGAGAUGAGGAAAAAACUCUAUAUCUUAUCUUUUACUGUGGAAGGUUUUGACCAGAUAGGGCUGAUGAUCCUAAUGAUGAUGAUGGACCUACUAACAUAGCUGUGGAUGAUGACAACAAGGUAUUUGAAGAGGAGGAACUGAAUAAAGACAUCCUGGAUGAUGGAGAGGAACCCAUAGAUGACCUAGACCUUGCCAACAGAGCCCCCACAAAAACUCCAGCUGGGAAGAAAGCGACUGAUGAUGGUGCUACAUUCCAUCCCCUACUCUGUUGGAGGCAUGCAUCUCUCCUGUGAGGGCUGAUAAGAAGACUGAAGAAAAAACUGUGGCCCAGAGCAUGUGCUCUUCGAUACCCUUCUCUGAGGCAAUCAAAAUCCUUAGCACUUCCCACAACAAAGCAAAUGAGGUCAGUAUGCUUGCUGCAUCGUCAAGUGGUGAAGCUGCUAUCACUUUCCCAGUGUCUGCUCAAAAAAUAUACUGUUCUGGUAUGCUAGAAGAACUGGAAGACUCUGCUUCUAAUACUGACAGUGAAUCCGCUGAACCUGAUGAGGAAAUGGUUACUGUUGAAGCUCCAAUAGCUAGUGGCUUGAAGAUAAUGGAAUUUAUGGAGAAAACCAAGGAAAGGGCUACACCCAAGAACAAGUGGGGCCCGGUGGUUGCUCCAAGACUGAGCUCCAGGGUCCACAACAGGCAAAAUAUCAUGGAGAAAGCUGCAUCUUACAAGAUGAAACAAAACCUGGAAAUCCCCCCUACAUUUAAAAGGCGUGCCGUGGACAAGCACCCGUGCAAUCUUGGCAAGGAUCAGCUCAUCGCUACAUCAAUGGAAGAUUCUCUGUGUGGGCGACCAAUCAGUGCUGCUGAGAAGAUGCAUUCAACUCCUGGAUCGGCGAAGAGGCGAGCUGCUCAGGAUUGCGUGGGCAUUGGGCUGAGAGCUUGCGUGAAGAGGACCCGAGACGAGGCGCUGAAGGCUCAUUCAGAGUGAAGGAAUGUGCUGUCUUGGCCCGGGCGAGGGCUGUAGUCUGUCUUUUCUGUUAAGUAGGCACUUUCCAUUUCGGCAGUUUUUGCUGUAGCUAUGUCGCGCGAAUUUGAACCUUUUAGGCCGUAGUUUUCUCCUACUUUCAAUUUACUCCGGUCUGCCACUCUCAGGUAGGCCCGAUCGCUUUGCUCCGUUCUAAUAAAAUGGGGCGGGGGGAAACCCCUUUUGAUCGAAAAAAAUUUAGAUAAGAUGGUAGAUAACAGUACAUUCUGAAUGAAGCGUUGUACACCUAGCUUCAGCACUUUCA